ensembl:lncRNA
GUACUGAUGAGGAAACAUGUUGUGCCGCCUUUGGCUUAGAGCUUCAGGAUGUCUUCUAGAAUUUGUCUACACUGAUACAGAGAUAUCAAAGCAGUACAGGUAAGUGUACCUUCCUGUUGUGAGUACACAGACAGGAAACCCUGUGGUGUUUUAGCUCACACAGAGGUAGCACACGAGCAUCUGUGCCUGAGGCCGUUUAUGGCCAUGCUGUCGACGCUAUAUUGAGAGAAGCUUGCAUGCUACCCUGUGAUGUCUGCGGUACCUGUAGAAAGAAGCGGAAUGAGAACUUGUUGCUAUUUCCUCACAUUGUAUUUAGAAGCCUACUACACUUCUGCUUUUGUCCUUUUGGUGAGAAGUGUCACACUGUUCCAUGUCUUCAUCGUGAGUCAUCAUCAUGUUGUCCUUGAAAGGAUUUUUUGUGUGUGUGUGUGUGUGUGUGUGUGUGUGUGUGUGUGUGUGUGUGUGUGUGUGUGUCGGUUAAAAAAAAUAAAUUUAAUGUCGACAACAUUUUUGGAAGCAAAGGCUAACAGUACGUAGCGGUUUAUUCAGCCCUGUCUGAUCUGUCACAGCAGUAAAUAUACAGUAAAAUGCAUGAAUAUAUGGUGUGUUUAUCUUCACCUGUUUCAGUGUCAGCCAGGUAUCAAAACUAAAGCUCAAUAAAUCCAUAAUGAUCAGAUUUACUGAGGACCGCACAGAUUCACUCUUAAAGAGACAGUUCAUCUGUUGUGUUUUCACCCUGGCUAUCUAUGAAAAAUACUUUGGUGUGAACAACCUGGUUUGGGAGAUAUCAGCUGUAGAGACGUCUUCCUUUUCUGGGAUAUGACAGAACCACAUGAAUAGGUAAAGAAAAACCCAAACUUUGUGAGAAGUAUUAUGUGGGAACUAUUUUCUUUCUCCUUUUUACACUGGCCAACCAACAGGUGCCUUCAGCCAGCUGAGAGGAACAAUACCAGAGUUUGCACUCUGUCACACCGUCACAGGUAGAUGCACACUUCCUCCUUUGUGGUAAUGUGGUUGACAGGUGUAGUUUGGUUUAAAAAAAACAGUUCCUGCCUAAAGGGCUCAGGAAAAGUUCAUUUUUAUUAGCAGAAAGAGACACUGCUGCUGAGUUUUGGGUGAUUUGAACAGCGUAAGGAAAGCGCCAUUUGCUUUUAGUUUAGUCAAGAGAAGUUCUACAACCAGUAGCUGUACAACUGGGAAACCCACACCACAACAGUCUAAUAGAAUAAUUAGCACUACAGGGUAGAGGAAAACAUCUGCCUCUUUAAUGUAUGUUCUGUAUCCUGUAUUGGCUCAUAAUUACUUUCCCAGUGUUAAAUAUGAGGUGAAGACAGGAAAAAGUCGCUCCAGUGUCAAACGGUGCACUUACAGCAAGAAAGGGAAGACUGAAAGUUAAUCCACCCACAUGCAUCUGCUGUGACAGCAAAACUAUUAGGAUCACAUAUCGCAAAUUAAACAGUGGAUGGUAAAAGUGGAUUUUCAACCUAUUUCUCUGAUAAAGGGCUAAAAAUAUACACUUUAUAUCAGUCGGUCACUUUUGCUCAGACAAAGUGAAAGCAGUUAGCAUAAAUGUGCUCCCUCUUGCAAGACAGUGCGUCUUUGAACGCUUCAACUAUGCGUGACCUCCUGCAUAGUACAGGAAAAGUGACAAUGAUUACAGACGAAAUUCCCAGCAUGUCUUUCACUUUAGGAGCCACAAGGUCAGCCUUCUUUUAUUUGCCGGAGCGGUUUGCGGGGUUGAGGAAAUGCCCCUCGCAGGGUAGCGUUACUCUGAGCGCUGCCUCAAAUCCAUCUGAUAGUUUGUUUUGCUUUACCCAGUGAUCAAAACCAGCUGCACCGGGUAACAAAAUAGGAUUUCUGUGUGUGUGUUCUCUCUAUUGUUUAGCUUUGUUUAUGUUUACAAAAGAACAGAAGAGACACUGGUAGAAAGUCACGGCGCUCUGUUGUGGGUCUGCGUGGUGACUUGAGGUCGGGAUUGUGUUUGUUCAAAAUCACUUAGCAUAUCAACUGACUGGGUUGUGCUCUCGUGUUUGGACUUUGUCAAUAUGGAAGGCCAUUAAUUUAAAAACUGAAGGUUAAAGCUGUCAGCGUCUUCAUUUUUCUUUUUUUGCUGAAUGCAUACACCUGUGGUUUACUGAGAAGCUCGAGGGGGGCGGGGGCUCUACUCCAGUCUGAAUGUGUUUUAUGUGAACAAUAAACGGCUGCAACACGAGAA